UACGGAGGGAGCUAGCGUUGUUCGGAAUUACUGGGCGUAAAGCGCACGUAGCGGCUCAGCAAGUCAGGUGUGAAAUCCCCGGGCUUAACCUGGGAAUUGCGCUUGAAACUAGCGGGCUUGAGUGCGGCAGAGGGGGGUGGAAUUCCACGUGUAGCAGUGAAAUGCGUAGAGAUGUGGAGGAACACCGAUGGCGAAGGCAGCCCCCUGGGUCAAAACUGACGCUCAUGCACGAAAGCGUGGGGAGCAAACAGG
rnacentral:rRNA from 1 species